GUCCUAGCCGUAAACGUUGGGUGCUAGGUGUGGGCGGAUAUCAACCCCGUCCGUGCCGAAGCUAACGCAUUAAGCACCCCGCCUGGGGAGUACGGCCGCAAGGCUAAAACUCAAAGGAAUUGACGGGGCCCCGCACAAGCGGCGGAGCAUGUUGCUUAAUUCGAUGCGACGCGAAGAACCUUACCUGGGCUUGACAUGCAGGGUGAAACCCGUGAAAGCGGGUGCUCUUCGGAGCCUGCACAGGUGGUGCAUGGCUGUCGU
rnacentral:rRNA from 1 species